GAAUUAGGAACUUCGACUAAGAAUCGACACGUUCUGUGGUAAACGUCGAAGUCGGCACAAUCUGCGCU
rnacentral:sRNA from 1 species